rnacentral:rRNA from 1 species
UACGAAGGGGCUAGCGUUGUUCGGAAUUACUGGGCGUAAAGCGCACGUAGGCGGGUUUGUAAGUAGGGGUGAAAUCCUAGGGCUCAACCCUGGAACUGCCUUCUAAACUGCAAGCCUGGAGGUCAGGAGAGGCGAGUGGAAUACCGAGUGUAGAGGUGAAAUUCGUAGAUAUUCGGUGGAACACCAGUGGCGAAGGCGACUCGCUGGACUGAUACUGACGCUGAGGUGCGAAAGCGUGGGGGAGCAAACAGG